rnacentral:rRNA from 1 species
CCAAUAGCGUAUAUUAAAGUUGUUGCAGUUAAAAAGCUCGUAGUUGAAUUUCGGGGUCAGUAGGUUGGUCGUGCCACUGGUACGUACUGGUCUCACUGAUUCCUCCUUCCUGAUGAACCGUAAUGCCACUAAUUUGGUGUUGCGGGGAAACUGGACUGUUACUUUGAAAAAAUUAGAGUGUUUAAAGCAGGCUAACGCUUGAAUACAUUAGCAUGGAAGAAUGAAAUAGGACGUUCGAUCCUAUUUUGUUGGUUUCUAGGAUUGACGUAAUGAUUAAUAGGGAUAGUUGGGGGCAUUAGUAUUCAAUUGUCAGAGGUGAAAUUCUUGGAUCUAUUGAAGACUAACUACUGCGAAAGCAUUUGCCAAGGAUGUUUUCAUUAAUCAAGAACGAAAGUUAGGGGAUCGAAGACGAUCAGAUACCGUCGUAGUCUUAACCAUAAACUAUGCCGACUAGGGAUCGGAUGAUGUUAAUUUUUUAAUGACUCAUUCGGCGCCUUACG